UCAGGCAAUAUCAUUUCAGCACAAAACUGUCAUUAUGUAUGAGAGACUGCUAGGAGUGGACCACUGCAGCUCUAUAUCAGCCUAUUUCCAUUUGGCUUAGUAUUGCUGUGGGGCUGAGAGGAAUGUUGUGGCGUUGAGAUUACUGUAUAGAGUUAUGUAUCUAAUAAUGUUAACACUUGGUGAGGAUCAUCCUGAAAUGUCUAAUGUUGAUUUUUACAUUGGUUUACUACU